rnacentral:rRNA from 1 species
ACGAACGCUGGCGGCGUGCCUAAUACAUGCAAGUCGAGCGAAGUUUUUCUGGUGCUUGCACCGGAAAAACUUAGCGGCGAACGGGUGAGUAACACGUAAAGAACCUGCCUCAUAGACUGGGACAACUAUUGGAAACGAUAGCUAAUACCGGAUAACAGCAUUAACUGCAUGGUUGAUGUUUAAAAGUUGGUUUUGCUAACACUAUGAGAUGGCUUUGCGGUGCAUUAGCUAGUUGGUGGGGUAAAGGCCUACCAAGGCGACGACGCAUAGCCGACCUGAGAGGGUGAUCGGCCACACUGGGACUGAGACACGGCCCAGACUCCUACGGGAGGCAGCAGUAGGGAAUCUUCCGCAAUGGGCGAAAGCCUGACGGAGCAACGCCGCGUGAGUGAAGAAGGAUUUCGGUUCGUAAAGCUCUGUUGUUAGGGAAGAAUGAUUGUGUAGUAACUAUACACAGUAGAGACGGUACCUAACCAGAAAGCCACGGCUAACUACGUG